UGCGGGGUGGAGAUCAGCCCCAGCGCUGAAUGCGUGAGGAAGUCUGUGUGAGGGGUGUCUUAAUGUCCCACACGUCCAAAGGAUUUCGUUUCAGUUGACAGGCAGAAUGUGAAAAUGGGUGCAUGUAGCAAGCUGGGUCACUCUUGUGAAACACAAACCCUUUGCCACUUCCCAGCUCCGACUGGGCAAAGCUCAGAAUUUUUCAAAGCUAUCUAGGAACCUUAAUACCUGGCCCCUCUGGUCACUUUUCAGCCUCUAGUCUGGCGGUUUUCUCCUGGACACACCCCGCAGUCUAGUCUCCCAGAGAGGGGUCUUGCUUUGUCUUCUCUCUAGCACUCAGAGCAGCGCCGGAUCCACCCUAGCUACUUAAUACUUACCUAAUAAGUAUUCAUGAAUUUUCAUGAUAUUGUCCAAAAGCUUUAGCAAACCCUCAAAGGUUGCGUAAGACCCCAUAGAGAUUAGAGUCAGCCACAAAUAUGGAGACUCAAACAAAUAUUUGAAUAAUAACUGGAGCACCUGGUUGGCUCAGUGGGUGGAGCCUGUAACUCCAUCGCAGGGGUGUGAGUGCCGAGAGUCCAGCCCCAGUAGGGGUUCCCGAAGGAUGGCGUCUGCGAAAAUAACAAAUGGACACAGACAACAGUGUGUCCGACUGGCCGCUUUAUUGUGUGCAUUGCUGGGUCCUGUGGUUGUUGCCUGCUCCUACAUACCUGACACAGCAGCCUCUCUGACCGCUUGGGAACCAUCACCCUCCGCUCAAGCACAGCUCCUUCUCCCACCCAAGAGGACUAGCAGGAUGACACAGCUCCAAGCCCAGGCUUUAGGAAUCAGACAAACUUUUGCUCCUAGCUUUGGAGGUGGGUAUUGCCCAGGAAGCUUUGAUGACAGCGCCCUACGGGGCAGAUCUAAUACCUACCAAUCCUUGGGUGACCACUUAACCCUUUCAAACCCCAUUUCUUGUUCUAUAAAAUGACCAGUUGCCUCUUCUCAUAGGGGUGAUGAUAAAAAUGCAGAUUAAAAAAAUUACUUGUCAGUUUCUGGCAUGUAAGUACUCAACAGGUAUCAAAAAAACGUUCAGGCACUUUUUGCUAUCUUCAUAGUACAAUUCUCUUCAGGGUGAUGGUAAAGUAGAGACAUCAAAACUUUACUAACCUUCAGCUUUAUCCAAGUUGACUGCACUUACAAUUAACCUUCUUUGGCAGUACUCGAGUUUUUGCCAAAUGGCGGAUUCUCCAUUACUGGAGGUUGUCUAAAAAACGCUUCAGUACUCCCACUUAUCCCACUUAAAGAGAAGGAAUACACUUUUAACAGGAAGUAAACACAGGCAGCUUUUCACCUUUACACCCAAGACCUUACACAUUUAGUGUAAGCUACGAUCUUUUCUCUUUCAGUGGGAACUAUCCAAAUACAAAUUUAUAUUUGAAAUAACCUCAUCAAGGGAAACGGUCUGUCAUCAGAACUGGAACUUCGAGAACUUAGGACUAACAUUUACUGAGAAGGCACCAUGUACUUGGCACCACUGUAAGCACUUUACGUGUAUUAGCUCGUUUAAAAAAAAUUUUUUUUUAAUGUUUAUUUAUUUUUGAGACAUUGUGAGAGACAGAGUGCAAGCAGUGGAGAGGCAGAGGGAGACACAGAAUCUGAAGCGGGCUCCAGGCUCGGAGCUGUCAGCCCAGAGCCCGACGCAGGGCUCGAACUCACGAACCGUGAGAUCAUGACCUGAGCCGAAGUUGGACGCUUAACCGACUGAGCCACCCAGGUGCCCCUAGCUCAUUUAACUUACAGGCAAAAAUUGAGCCACCGAAAGAGAAUGCAGUUUUCCCAAGUCUUGAAGCAGGUAGUUAAGUGGUAAAGCCAGGAUUCAAACCCAUUAGCUCCAGAGGCCAGGCCAUGCUCUGAACUGGAUUAAGACUUAUCACCUCUCUUAUCAUAGUCAUACCAGCAAAUACAGCAUCCAAUCCCCAAAAUGAAAAAUACUGACUUUGCAAAUCCCAAGUUCUCUCUGCCUAACACAGAUGCAUCAGAAACUUGAAAAUUGGUAAUGACAUAUAACCGUUCUAUAUUAAAUUUAGUUAUAAAAUUCUA